GUUGUUCCAGUUUUGUUUCUGUAGAGGGACUGAGGUUAGCUACCUGCGCAGGACACGAGCUGAUGGUUAGCGACUGGCAAGCUGUUCGUAUCCCGUAUGAUCAACAAUUGACCAGUUCCACCAUCUGAUAGAAUACAACACUUCUCUGAGAAGCACGUUUAAAAUAUUUAAAGAUUUCAGUUUGUUGCGGUGUGUUCAGCAAUGUCUGUUCAGAGCCAGAUGUAAAUCUAUCAACUUUGACGUUCACACACAAUUCUGCGAAUUGAAUGAAGGAACUACCGACAGUCCAUCAUUCAGGAACGGAAGCGUAUUUUCUGAAAUGACGAACUGGCCUAAGAGAAUUUCUCUUGUCUGCGAAAAACAUUACUGUCAAUUAGACAAGGUCUGUGUGAUUGAAAAACGGGCUUCAAGGGUCACUACCUCCU